rnacentral:rRNA from 1 species
UACGGGGGGGGCAAGCGUUAAUCGGAAUUACUGGGCGUAAAGCGUGCGCAGGCGGUUGUGCAAGUCCGAUGUGAAAUCCCCGGGCUCAACCUGGGAAUGGCAUUGGUGACUGCACGGCUAGAGUGUGUCAGAGGGGGGUAGAAUUCCACGUGUAGCAGUGAAAUGCGUAGAGAUGUGGAGGAAUACCGAUGGCGAAGGCAGCCCCCUGGGAUAACACUGACGCUCAUGCACGAAAGCGUGGGGAGCAAACAGG